CCCGAGUAGCUGGGACUACAGGCGCGUGCCACUACACCCGGAUGUAUGGUUAUUGUCCACCUGGACAGGCCCCAAAGUGACAGCCAGAAAUCUGCCUCCACCACCCCUUCUGCUGUUCCUGCCAUCAUAUUUAAUUGUGUUUGCUCAACUCGAAGCCAAACUCAUAUGCAGUAUAUUUAGAUGGUUAAAAUAGCACAGCACUGCACUGUAUUCACAGAUUAUUUUCAACACCACAGUUCUUGGGAAUUAGUUUGGAAUAAAUAAGGUAAAGAGAAAAGAAGCAACAUAAAUUUGUUCCAGUGACAAAGAAAACAAUAUUAAAAUGCCAAUCUGGAGCUUCGCCAUGAAUGAGGGAAGGGAGUGCUCCUUUCGGUCCACUCUCCUGCAAAUGCAAUCACCAUCUCAUUCUCUAGUCUGGAUUUAUUUUAAAGUGGGUGAGAACAAAAGCAAAAAACUAAUAGUAAGAAACUAUGAAAAGAACCUUUAUUAUUUCAAAAGAUCAAUGUACAAUCACUGUACAUAUUCUUAGAUAGCAUCAAAAGUAAAGGUGUAGAACUGAUAUAUAUGUUGAUUUUCUGAAACUCUAGGGAGUCUUUAUUUUUCACAAUAGCAAACUUUCUAAAUUGAAACACAUAUAUUAUUAGUAUAUAUUCAGGAUCUGUUUUCUGAGGUCUCGGCUACUAUACACUUCUUCAAAUGCCUCAAAAUAAUCACUCCUAAUUAAUUUACAAAGGCUUCGUUGGAUACCGUUAUCAGCUAACUCCACCUUAAAGUUUCCAACUUGCAUUUUUCGUAUCAUUUAACAAACACAAACUCUGUCACCCAAAUGUCAAAAGAUUUAUAAGUCAUGGAGUAUAAAACAGACUUUGUUACUGACGAGGUUAUGACUUGAAUUGGAUCAAUUAACUAAAAAUAAAGACCAGCUUUCUGUUAUUUUAA